rnacentral:ncRNA from 1 species
CUGGUUGAUCCUCCUAGUAGUAUAUGCUUGACUCAAAGAUUAGGCCAUGCAAGUCUAAGUACAAUUGACUAGUACAGUGAAACUGUGAAUGGCUCAUCAGUUAUGGUUCCUUGAUCGCUCCAAUGUUACCUAAAUAACUGUGGCAAUUUUAGAGCUAAUACAUGUUAAUGAGCAUUGAUGACCUCGAGCCAUUUGUGCGCCCUUUGUGGCGGUGAUGUCUCAUUCGAAUGUAUGCCCUAUCAACUUUCGACGGUACUUUCUGUGUCUACCAUGGUGACCACAGGUAAUGGGGAAUCAGGGUUUGAUCCUGGAGAGGGAGCCUAAGAAACGGCUACCGUACACAAGGAUUAAGGCAGCAGGCGCGCAAAUUACCCACUGCCAACUCUGGGAGGUAUACCAAAAAUCACAAAACAGGACUCUCGAGGCCCUGUAAUUGGAAUGAGUACACAUUAAAUUAUUUGACAAGGAUCCAUUGCUAAUGUUUAAAAGUUGCAUUUU